rnacentral:rRNA from 1 species
UACGGAGGGAGCAAGCGUUAUCCGGACUCACUGGGUUUAAAGGGUGCGUGGGCGGAUCGAUAAGUCAGCCGUGAAAUCGCUGAGCUUAACUUAUGCAACUGCGGUUGAUACUGUCGAACUUGAAUGGGGUUGAGGCUGGCGGAAUGCGUCAUGUAGCGGUCAAAUGCUUAGAUAUGUCUAAGAAAACCGAUUGCGAAGGCAGCUAGCUAGGCCUAAAUUGACGCUGAGGCUCGAAAGCGUUGGGAGCAAACAGG